rnacentral:rRNA from 1 species
GACAGUGUCUGGUGGGUAGUUUGACUGGGGCGGUCUCCUCCUAAAGAGUAACGGAGGAGCACGAAGGUUGGCUAAUCCUGGUCGGACAUCAGGAGGUUAGUGCAAUGGCAUAAGCCAGCUUGACUGCGAGCGUGACGGCGCGAGCAGGUGCGAAAGCAGGUCAUAGUGAUCCGGUGGUUCUGAAUGGAAGGGCCAUCGCUCAACGGAUAAAAGGUACUCCGGGGAUAACAGGCUGAUACCGCCCAAGAGUUCAUAUCGACGGCGGUGUUUGGCACCUCGAUGUCGGCUCAUCACAUCCUGGGGCUGAAGUAGGUCCCAAGGGUAUGGCUGUUCGCCAUUUAAAGUGGUACGCGAGCUGGGUUUAGAACGUCGUGAGACAGUUCGGUCCCUAUCUGCCGUGGGCGCUGGAGAACUGAGGGGGGCUGCUCCUAGUACGAGAGGACCGGAGUGGACGCAUCACUGGUGUUCGGGUUGUCAUGCCAAUGGCACUGCCCGGUAGCUAAAUGCGGAAGAGAUAAGUGCUGAAAGCAUCUAAGCACGAAACUUGCCCCGAGAUGAGUUCUCCCUGACCCUUUAAGGGUCCUGAAGGAACGUUGAAGACGACGACGUUGAUAGGCCGGGUGUGUAAGCGCAGCGAUGCGUUGAGCUAACCGGUACUAAUGAACCGUGAGGCUUAACCUUACAACGCCGAAG